rnacentral:rRNA from 1 species
UACAGAGGUGGCAAGCGUUGUUCGGAAUUAUUGGGCGUAAAGCGCGCGCAGGCGGAUUUGCAAGUCAGAUGUGAAAUCUCGGGGCUCAACCUCGAAACUGCGUCUGAAACUGCAGACCUAGAAUGUCGGAGGGGGUAGGGGAAUUUCACGUGUAGGGGUAAAAUCCGUAGAGAUGUGAAGGAACACCGGUGGCGAAGGCGCCUACCUGGACGACUAUUGACGCUGAGGCGCGACAGCGUGGGGAGCAAACAGG